CAGAGUGGCAAGCGUUGUUCGGAAUUACUGGGCGUAAAGGGCGCGUAGGCGGCUUGUGAGUCAGACGUGAAAUCCCAGGCUUAACUUGGGAACUGCGUCUGAUACUGCAAGGCUCGAGUGCGGGAGAGGGAUGUGGAAUUCCAGGUGUAGCGGUGAAAUGCGUAGAUAUCUGGAGGAACACCGGUGGCGAAGACGGCAUCCUGGACCGACACUGACGCUGAGGCGCGAAAGCUAGGGGAGCAAACGGGAUUAGAUACCCCGGUAGUCCUAGCCCUAAACGAUGAGUGCUUGGGUGUGGCGGGUAUCGAUCCCUGCCGUGCCGAAGCUAACGCAUUAAGCACUCCGCCUGGGGAGUACGGUCGCAAGGCUG
rnacentral:rRNA from 1 species